rnacentral:lncRNA from 1 species
UAAUCAUUUAUGAAUUUUGGAAGUGAAAGAAAAAAUAAAAAAAAGCAUGAAAAAGCAUGUAUGAACAUAUGGAGGGAAAUCAAAUAAAAUGGCAUGGCAUUUGAAAAUGUGUUGGAAGCCGGACUCGAACAGAUGCAAUAUUUGAAUGAGGCGCGUUUGCUGAGUGAAACUCAGCGUUUCGUUAAUGACGUGGCCUGUUCAAAAGCGCUAGGGCCAAUCAUUUUGCCAUGCAUCCAACUACGUGGACCAGUACAUGCACGGUAU